AGCAGCCGCGGUAAUUCCAGCUCCAAUAGCGUAUAUUAAAGUUGUUGCAGUUAAAAAGCUCGUAGUUGAAUUUCGGGGUUAGUAGGUUGGUCAUGCCUCUGGUAUGUACUGGUCUCACUGAUUCCUCCUUCCUGAUGAGCCUUAAUGCCAUUAAUUGGGUGUUUUGGGGAAUUUGGACUGUUACUUUGAAAAAAUUAGAGUGUUUAAAGCAAGCUAACGCUUGAAUACAUUAGCAUGGAAUAAUGAAAUAGGACGUUCGAUCCUAUUUUGUUGGUUUCUAGGAUUGACGUAAUGAUUAAUAGGGAUAGUUGGGGGCAUUAGUAUUCAAUUGUCAGAGGUGAAAUUCUUGGAUUUAUUGAAGACUAACUACUGCGAAAGCAUUUGCCAAGGAUGUUUUCAUUAAUCAAGAACGAAAGUUAGGGGAUCGAAGACGAUCAGAUACCGUCGUAGUCUUAACCAUAAACUAUGCCG
rnacentral:rRNA from 1 species